UACAGAGGCCCCAAGCGUUACUGAGAAUCACUGGGUUUAAAGGGUGCGUAGGUGGUCCGUUAAGUUCGUUGUGAAAGCCCUGGGCUCAACCCAGGAACUGCUUCGAAUACUGGCGGACUUGAGGCUAGUAGAGGUCACUGGAACUGACGGUGGAGCGGUGAAAUGCGUAGAUAUCAAGUGGAACACCAGUGGCGAAGGCGAGUCUCUGGACAUUUCCUGACGCUGAGGCACGAAAGCCAGGGGAGCAAACGGG
rnacentral:rRNA from 1 species